GUGCUCACUUUGGCAGCACAUAUACUAACACUGGAAUGAUACAGAGAUUAGCAUGGCCUCUGCACAAGGAUGAGACACAGGGAAUUAGGUAGUAAAGGCUGAA
ensembl:snRNA U6 U6 spliceosomal RNA